rnacentral:rRNA from 1 species
AACGAACGCUGGCGGCAUGCCUAACACAUGCAAGUCGAACGAAGCCUUCGGGCUUAGUGGCGCACGGGUGCGUAACGCGUGGGAAUCUGCCCUUUGGUUCGGAAUAACAGUUGGAAACGACUGCUAAUACCGGAUGAUGACGAAAGUCCAAAGAUUUAUCGCCAGAGGAUGAGCCCGCGUAGGGUUAGCUAGUUGGUGUGGUAAAGGCGCACCAAGGCGACGAUCCUUAGCUGGUCUGAGAGGAUGAUCAGCCACACUGGGACUGAGACACGGCCCAGACUCCUACGGGAGGCAGCAGUGGGGAAUAUGGGACAAUGGGCGAAAGCCUUAUCCAGCAAUGCCGCGUGAGUGAUGAAGGCCUUAGGGUUGUAAAGCUCUUUUACCCGGGAUGAUAAUGACAGUACCGGGAGAAUAAGCUCCGGCUAACUCCGUGCCAGCCGCCGCCGUAA